GUGAGAUGAUGAACUUGUUUAUCCAUUCUCUGAGCACUGCUGGCCUCUGUCUCUGCAACACUCUCGGCCUGUUCUAGGCCUAAGUGUCUCGGCUCCCAGACUCGGCUUGGCCAUUCCAGUGUUCUGCUGGGGGCGGAGCAGGAGUCUGGAGAGCUGGAGCAAGAGGCAGAACCAGCCUCUGCAGAGACGAGUAAACAGUCUGAUCGC
ensembl:snoRNA